GCCUCCGUAGCUCAGGGGAUAGAGCAAAGGCCUUCUAAUCCUUUGGUCGCAGGUUCGAAUCCUGCCGGGGGCACCA
rnacentral:tRNA from 1 species